CCUACGGGAGGCAGCAGUGGGGAAUAUUGCGCAAUGCUCGAAAGCCUGACGCAGCGACGCCGCGUGAGGGAUGAAGGUCUUCGGAUCGUAAACCUCUGUCAGCAGGGAAGAACGGUCACUGUGCUAAUCAGCAGUGAAUUGACGGUACCUGCAAAGGAAGCACCGGCUAACUCCGUGCCAGCAGCCGCGGUAAUACGGAGGGUGCGAGCGUUAAUCGGAGUUACUGGGCGUAAAGCGCUCGUAGGCGGUAUGUCAAGUCAAGGGUGAAAUCCCCGCGCUCAACGUGGGUACUGCCUUUGAAACUGGCAAACUGGAGUGUGUGAGAGGAUAGUGGAAUUCCAGGUGUAGGAGUGAAAUGCGUAGAUAUCUGGAGGAACAUCAGUGGCGAAGGCGACUAUCUGGCACAUAACUGACGCUGAGGAGCGAAAGCGUGGGUAGCAAACAGGAUUAGAUACCCUUGUAGUC
rnacentral:rRNA from 1 species